rnacentral:lncRNA from 1 species
AGUUCAAGAUUUCAACAUUUUAAGAUAAUCUGAAAAAAAUUGGAAUGUGCCCCCAGCUGUGCUACUGGUGACUUCUUCAACAGUUGAGAAACUGAACUAUGUGUUCAUGAAAAUACUCCAUCAUUAAAGUUUAUGCAACACUCUCUCAACACUGUUUAUCAAAGGAACCAAUAUGAAAGGAAAAACAUUGCUUUGAAGGGAAGAUGGAUGGAUCCCCUAGUAAACUACAGCUUGAGGUGCAAUUUCCUAAAGUUCAAAUGCCUGAAAAAGGAAAUGAAAGAAAGAAACUCAACUCUUGAGACAGCUUCAAUGCUAGCUUUGAUCUCAAUUAUAGAGUUAUUUAUGAAAAGUGCAUUUUUACAACUAAAAAUAAAUUAGGAUCAAAAGCUUCUAGAGGCUAUACUAUGGAGUGCUUAAUAAAAAGUUGAGUAAAGAG